rnacentral:rRNA from 1 species
CCUACGGGAGGCUGCAGUGAGGAAUAUUGGUCAAUGGGCGAGAGCCUGAACCAGCCAAGUCGCGUGAGGGAGUACUGCCCUAUGGGUUGUAAACCUCUUUUGUCGGGGAGCAAAAGCCGCACGUGUACGGCUGUGAGAGUACCCGAAGAAAAAGCAACGGCUAACCCCGUGCCAGCCGCCGCGGUAAUACGGAGGAUGCGAGCGGUAUCCGGAUUUAUUGGGUUUAAAGGGUGCGCAGGCGGAUGUUUAAGUCAGCGGUCAAAUGGUGGGGCUCAAACCCAUCCAGCCGUUGAAACUGGGGAUCUAGAGUGUGCGAGAGGUAUGCGGAAUGCGUGGUGUAGCGGUGAAAUGCAUAGAUAUCACGCAGAACCCCGAUUGCGAAGGCAGCAUACCGGUGCACAACUGACGCUCAGGCACGAAAGCGUGGGUAUCGAACAGGAUUAGAUACCCUAGUAGUC